UAGGGAAUCUUCGGCAAUGGGGGCAACCCUGACCGAGCAACGCCGCGUGAGUGAAGAAGGUUUUCGGAUCGUAAAGCUCUGUUGUAAGAGAAGAACGUGUGUGAGAGUGGAAAGUUCACACAGUGACGGUAACUUACCAGAAAGGGACGGCUAACUACGUGCCAGCAGCCGCGGUAAUACGUAGGUCCCGAGCGUUGUCCGGAUUUAUUGGGCGUAAAGCGAGCGCAGGCGGUUUAAUAAAUCUGAAGUUAAAGGCAGUGGCUUAACCAUUGUUCGCUUUUGAAACUGUUACACUUGAGUGCAGAAGGGGAGAGUGGUAUUCCAUGUGUAGCGGUGAAAUGCGUAGAUAUAUGGAGGAACACCGGUGGCGAAAGCGGCUCUCUGGUCUGUAACUGACGCUGAGGCUCGAAAGCGUGGGGAGCAAACAGG
rnacentral:rRNA from 1 species